AAUGAUAGUUGGUACUUGGUAACAACAAGUUUGGGUUUGGUAAAAAAACCAAAAAAAAAAGUUUGGGA
rnacentral:sRNA from 1 species